ensembl:lncRNA
AAUGGAGUCUUCCAUAUGAUGCCAACCCAAAGGGUAUUUGGUCAUUGUGGAUGUCAACCUUCAUUAGCAGAAUUUUAUCACAUCCAUUGUUUGGAAUUUAUCUUACCCCCUUCAGGGUUCAAAGAAGAUAUUUAACAUCUUUACCUCCAAGCAAGUUUGCUUAUCAUAGCAAGUUAGCCACUGAACAGAAAUUGCCUAUAUCAUCUUCAGAGAAAAUAUUGUCCCAAACGACAAACAGAUGUUGGAUGCUUGAUUACUAAUCUCUGCCAAUAGAGGACUCUUAAGAAUAUAAAGUAGUUGGGCC